UUUUUGAGGAAUAGUGCCAAGAUAAAGGAUUCAGAGUCGUUCUCUUCUGUUGGCAGGUUUAUAGGUGGUGAAGGGAAACAAUUUCUUAAGCCCAUACAUAGUUUACAGCUGUGCUACCAUGUACACUCUCUUCUUGGACCCAUGGUGGAAACACUGGAGUUGACGAGAAGAGAGGCUGGUGGACGUCUGCUAGGAAGAUAACCCUGUCCGCCUUGUUGUUAAGAGUCUCUAACAUUGCUCUCUAUGAUAUGGACAGGAGACGGAAAUACUGGGUAGAAAAGGGCAGUUCCCUGGCAAAGCCUCACCCUCAAGCCUGGAUACCUGCUGUCUUAAACGAAAACGAAAACAGGCAUUUCUGUGUUCAUGCUCCAAAAGUUAUCUUUUGGCCUGCCACACCCCCUAUCCUGCACCCAUAUGAAUCCCGAACCCCAGACUCCAGAAGCAGACCAGCAAGCCCGCAGACCAGCAGAAGGAUGGCAGAACGAUGUGGCAGAGAAAGGGAGAAGAGGAGGAACAUCUGAAUGCCAAAAUGAGUUCAGCUGGGGGCAGUCAGAGAGGAGUCCAGCCACUGGGCAGCCAGAAUCCAGGGGAGGAUCACCUUUCCACUUCAUCCCCUUCCUCUGCCUCCCCAUCCAUCCUGCUGAAAGCCACCUCCACCACUCAAUAAAACCUGCCAUUCAUC
rnacentral:lncRNA from 1 species